CCUUAGAGUUUGAUCCUGGCUCAGGACGAACGCUGGCGGCGUGCUUAACACAUGCAAGUCGAACGAUGAAGCCUUUCGGGGUGGAUUAGUGGCGAACGGGUGAGUAACACGUGGGCAAUCUGCCCUUCACUCUGGGACAAGCCCUGGAAACGGGGUCUAAUACCGGAUAACACUUCUGCCUGCAUGGGCGGGGGUUAAAAGCUCCGGCGGUGAAGGAUGAGCCCGCGGCCUAUCAGCUUGUUGGUGGGGUAAUGGCCUACCAAGGCGACGACGGGUAGCCGGCCUGAGAGGGCGACCGGCCACACUGGGACUGAGACACGGCCCAGACUCCUACGGGAGGCAGCAGUGGGGAAUAUUGCACAAUGGGCGAAAGCCUGAUGCAGCGACGCCGCGUGAGGGAUGACGGCCUUCGGGUUGUAAACCUCUUUCAGCAGGGAAGAAGCGAGAGUGA
rnacentral:rRNA from 1 species